UGCGGACACAUCGCGUUGAAACACCGGUUUCCGUCCGAUCACCGAAGUUAAAUAACGUUGAUCCUGGUCAGUACCUAGAUGACUGACCGCUUGGGAAUACCAGAUGCU